ACUUUUAUAGGAUAGAAGUA
rnacentral:tRNA from 1 species